GUAUAUAAAUAGAUAGAUGUGUGAUUGUCGUAUAUGUAGUUAUAAGAU
rnacentral:guide_RNA from 1 species